GAGGAUGCAGCUCAGUGGAAGAGCACCUGCCUAGUAAGUGUGAGGCCCUGGGUUUGAUCCCCAGCACUACA
rnacentral:tRNA from 1 species